rnacentral:rRNA from 1 species
AUCAAAGGAAUAAGGGCGCACAGGGAGC